rnacentral:rRNA from 1 species
GCAAGUCGAGCGACGCGCUCUUUCGGGGGUGACGGAGCGGCGAACGGGUGAGUAACACGUGGGCAACCUGCCCUCAGCUCUGGGACAACUCCGGGAAACCGGGGCUAAUACCGGAUACGACAUCGGAUCGCAUGGUCUGGUGUGGAAAGUUUUUCGGCUGAGGAUGGGCCCGCGGCCUAUCAGCUUGUUGGUGGGGUGAAGGCCUACCAAGGCGACGACGGGUAGCCGGCCUGAGAGGGCGACCGGCCACACUGGGACUGAGACACGGCCCAGACUCCUACGGGAGGCAGCAGUGGGGAAUAUUGCGCAAUGGGCGAAAGCCUGACGCAGCGACGCCGCGUGGGGGAUGAAGGCCUUCGGGUUGUAAACCUCUUUCAGCAGGGACGAAUUCAGACGGUACCUGCAGAAGAAGCACCGGCCAACUACGUGCCAGCAGCCGCGGUAAUACGUAGGGUGCAAGCGUUGUCCGGAAUUAUUGGGCGUAAAGAGCUCGUAGGCGGUCUGUCGCGUCGGCUGUGAAAACUUGGGGCUCAACCCCAAGCCUGCAGUCGAUACGGGCAGACUAGAGUGCGGUAGGGGAGACUGGAAUUCCUGGU